AAUAGGGGCAGCCUUACCUUGGAGGCCUUUUGUUAGUGUCUAUUAUCGUGCCCAUAUCUUGUUUGAAAGGGAUAAAAAACGUUCUUGGACUGCAGAAGAGUGUGAACUUGUGCUUAAGUUUCAUGAGAAAUAUGGAUCAGAUUGGAAAACUUUGGCUGAAGCACUUGGCAAACAUAGGAUUCAUGUGAAGGAUACAUGGCGUAGAAUAAAAGUUGCCAAUAGGAAAAGGGGACGAUGGUCCCAAGAGGAGUACCAGACUUUAUUUGAUUUAGUGAACAUGGAUUUGCGUAUGAAAGCUCGUGAGGAAACGAGAUCAUCCAAACAUGGUAUGUUGAGAGAUAAUAUCUGUUGGACAGCUAUCAGUGACAAGCUGGGGACCAGAACUACUCCUAUGUGCUGCAUGAAAUGGUAUCACCAAUUAACUUCACCUAUGGUAGCUGAAGGUGAAUGGCUUGAUGUAGAUGACUACCAACUUGUGAUUGCGCUCUAUGACUUGGACGCUUGCUGCAUGGAAGAUGUGGACUGGGAUAAUCUUCUGGAGCAUAGAUCUGGUGAUGUGUGCCGAAAGAGAUGGAACCAAAUGGUCAAACACCUUGGUGAGCACGGGAAUAAGUCAUUUGCUGAACAGGUUGAAGUUCUUGUGGAGCGUUACUGCCCAGAUGUGCUUGAAGCAAGAGAGGCCUAUAACAGCAAACCUGUAAUUCGUUGAGUUUAUGGUCCUAUCACAUGUUUGUGUUUUCUGGGCUCUUUUGCAAUCUUCUGAAGGCUAAAGCUGUUGCAAUCUACAUAUCUACCUGGAGUUUGGAACAGUGGGUUGUUAUGUACUGAUAUAAAGUUUUUAUGGCCCUAUCUUUUGUUCGGGACUGAUAUUAGACUGAUUAUAAGAAUUUCAUGUGGGGAAAUAAAAUUCAUUGCACAAGCUCAGAAAUCUUUUAGGAUUCGUUUCCUUAAUUAAUUGUUUUAAAUUAUUACCGAGGCCAAGAUGAAGAUAGUGCGAGAGGCAAGCACCCUAUAUUAUUGGGAUAAAACAGUUUGUAUAAUAUCAGUCCCGAACAAAAGAU
rnacentral:misc_RNA from 1 species